rnacentral:rRNA from 1 species
AAUGCUUUACACAUGCAAGUCGAACGGCAGCACGGGACUUUCGGUCUGGUGGCGAGUGGCGAACGGGUGAGUAAUAUAUCGGAACGUGCCCAGUCGUGGGGAUAACGUAGUGAAAAUUACGCUAAUACCGCAUACGAUCUAAGGAUGAAAGCGGGGAUCGCAAGACCUCGCGCGAUUGGAGCGGCCGAUAUCAGAUUAGGUAGUUGGUGAGGUAAAGGCUCACCAAGCCGACGAUCUGUAGCUGGUCUGAGAGGACGACCAGCCACACUGGAACUGAGACACGGUCCAGACUCCUACGGGAGGCAGCAGUGGGGAAUUUUGGACAAUGGACGCAAGUCUGAUCCAGCCAUUCCGCGUGCAGGACGAAGGCCUUCGGGUUGUAAACUGCUUUUGUACAGAACGAAAAGGUCUCUAUUAAUACUAGGGGCUCAUGACGGUACUGUAAGAAUAAGCACCGGCUAACUACGUG